GAACUGGCCCCCUGUUUAAAAAGUUUGAGGACCCCUGGUCUAGAUGGCAUAGGGAUUGGAAUCAACCUUAUGUUCACAUUCAUUCAACUACUGCUCACCUACAGGACUUCAGACGGUUCAUGGAAAAAUGAAAUGGAAGGAUCCUGGCGUUUUCCCACAAAACGAUGAAGGAAGCCCCUUCAUCCUCUGGGUGGCCGUGUUGGACAGGGAGCCAUACGUAGUCCUUUAAAAAAACAAAAAGAUACAGAGGCCAAAUGAUACCCUAGGCAAGUCCUUCCAAACAGGAAUUUCUUUGGAAGAAGAAUGGCUCGGUUUUUGGUUUUCUGGAUUUUCCUGUUGUGACAAGAAUAUUCCUGGCAAAAGAUUUGCUGAUUAAUUUUUUCCACAGACAGUUGAAUGACAGCGGCCGCGCUCAUUGUUGAUGGCCGUGUGGCCAUCACUGCCAUCGCUUUCUGAGCUUUGCCAUCACUGUUAGGAGAAACUCGGUGCCCCUGUCCCUCCCCUCCUGUUCCUGGUAACUGUGCUCGAUACUGUGUGUGCGUGGGUCACGUUGCAUUUGUCCUUUUCUGCCUGACUCCUUUGACUCAAGUACAGUGUUUUCAAGGGUUCUCCACGUGGAGCCUGAAUCGGGAAUCCCCUCGCUCUCGGCACCAUGUCUGGCUGACCGUGCUUUCGUGGUGGGACACGUGGCGUCUCCUCCCCUGACUGUCCUGAGCGGGCCUGCAGUGGACAUCGGGGUCCUUCUGCUUCCCCCAUUCCAGUCAUUUUGAGUGUGUACUUAUGAUUGGGGUCACUGGGUUGUGUGGUAGUUUUAUUUUAGCCCUCUAAUUGUUAGUGAAUUUGAUGAUAUCAUUGGAAAGUGGAGUUAACUCUUUCUUUCUCAUAACAGACAUGGAAGAAUGAAGGCUUUUUUGCUCUAUAUAAAGGAUUUUGGCCAAACUGGUUGAGGCUUGGCCCUUGGAAUAUCAUUUUCUUCGUGACGUAUGAGCAGUUGAAGAAGUUGGACUUGUGACAAGCCCCAGCCGGCACAAGCUUCCCUCUGCAAAUGCUCGCUUCCCCUACUCGCAGUGCAGCUUCCUGCUUCCUGCCCUCCUUACGGCUAAGGUCAUCCCAGAUCCCUGGAGUGAUCAGCAGAGGGCAACGGAGGAGUCCCACUGGAAUUGCCAGGCCUCAUCCAAUGUUUACUAACAAACUGCCACAUCCAAACACUCUUCCUUCCCAUUGAAGUGCCGUUCACAGCCAAGGUGACAUUUGAAGUGCAUGUUCCUGCUAAGAAAUCUCCCAAGACAAUCUGGUGCCGGGGACAGUUUGUUCCAAGGAGUGGAGCUCCUGGUGCAUCUCAGCACUUGGUGGAGACUCCGGUGUGAGCUGGGCGCCCCCACAGGCCUUCCCGUUCCUGCCUGUCUGAAGAAACAUCACACGGGGCACAGGGCCUUCCAAGAGCCGUAUGGACAAUACCAGAAACCCAUCCAUCUUUGGAAUAUUGCACUGGGUUUUAAUUUCCUAUUUCGGCAGGAUCUCUCACUUAUAAUAAGUGUUUUAAGCCUUUGCAGACUUGGCCUUUGUGAGGAAUUGUUACCGAGUAUUAAGAUGUAAACUCAAUUGUGUGACUUGGCGCACAAGCCCAGCAGGUGUUUUCAGCCGGGAUGUGUUUUGCCGUAGGUAGUGGUGGUGGUUCCUUCUCUGAGUCUCAGCAAUGCUUAUUGGCUCUUUUGCGUCGGUUUCCCUCCCUGGGUGCUGGGGCUGAAGCCCUGGAAUGGAGGACGCAGUAGCUGUGCUGCCCCUUUUCUGAUGUUAACACAGCUAAUGUCAUGUGUGAACGCCUUUACAUCACGCCACCCACGUCUGUGCCCCUUCCAGAAGCAGCAUGUACACAAGAGUCGCAGUCCCAGGCUUCCUCGCCGGAACCACAAGGGUGGCCCUUUCUGAGAAGCCUGGUUCAAGAGAGUGCAGGGUACAUGGAGAUGGUCAUGUGCAUUGCCUAUCCAAAUGUGGCCAGUGAAUGAGAGCGUUCAUUUCUCCACCUUUUCCGUGUUUACUUUAGACCACGUCAUGUUACAUAAACUGCAUCCUGUCUUUGACUUAGUUUAGAUGGGAAGUGUGGAUUGAGAUCCUAGUCACCUCAUGACAGGUCUCUUUCAUUCUGUCUUCUAAAGGCAUUGACUGCUACAUGUAUUGCACAUCACAGUUCCCACCAACUUGUCCUAGCGCGGCCAUCCCUAUUCCGUGUCCUCUCUUCUUGAGCCUCUGUCAGUGUCCCUGCUGGAAUCACUCAUGUGUCAUGGCUGUGGCUCCUGGGCAGGGCCAGCUAGAGGAGAUCUUGGCCUGCUUUCUUGUCUUCAGAUUGAAAAGGGACUCUGAAACCCCCAGAGCAGCUGGGUCAUAACAGUGUAUUGCGCUUACUGCUAUCCAGUAGGUUGGUGGCUUGGGUCUACCCAGGGGUACCUUGGGAAAAAGGCCUGGCAUCUCCACUUCCGAAAAACUGUCCAUUGAAAAUCCUGUGGAGCACAGUUCUACUCUGACACGCUCAGGGUCACCGUGAGUUGAUGGCAACUGGCUUGGGUUUUAGCUGUGGCCUGAGACCCCUGUGAUCUUGAUCCUCGUAGAAGACGGCCCCAAGGCAGCCAAGACCCUUGGCUACCUUCAGCGCUACCCUCUGAGAAUAACAUGAACUGUGCCCUGCCUGUGGCAUGUGUAGCAGAGCACUGCUACAGCAUCUCAAAAGGAAAAGCCAGACCCUGCCAUGGUGUUGAUCCCCACAUGCUGACCCUGUAGGACAGGGCAGAACUGCCUCUGUGGGAUUCCGAGGCUGUUAAACUGAUGGAGAGCAGAAAGCCUCAUCUUUCUCCUGCAGAGCGGCUGGUGACAUGGAACCACUGACCUUUCAGUUCAUAGCUCAACAUGUAGCCCACUUUGCCAGCAGGGCUACUUUCUACAGCACAUGCAGGGUGCAUUGCUGGUUUCUGAUGUUCCCUCCUCCAUGAAGGCAGAAUAGGAGGAAUCCGAGCUUUGGAGACCAGGCCGUGUUCCUCACAGCCAGGUCCACCUGGCCUUCUCUAUGCUUCCUAUGAAAAAGAAUUCUUACUUUCUCCGUCAGAGCUGAGAUAAAGCCAUUUAAAAGGGGAAGGAAAACAGAAGCGGGGUGGGGUGGCAGAGGCAUGUUCAUUGCUGGGAGAUGAGGGUGGAGAGUCCGGGUUCCAGCCUUCCUGUCCUGUCAGAAGUGGCCACGGGGCAGAGUCUCACGACACCCGAGAGCAGAGCUCACCCAGGCUGCCAGUCUCACCCACGGGGCCCGGGUUCUGACCUGGGAGAGUUGGUUCCCUAACCAAACAUUCCACAGACCAGUCAGUGCAAGGCUGUGUAGAAAGAGGCUUUCGUUUGUGAGUUCUUGGAGUUUAAAGAGCUGUUCAUGAACCUUUCUUUGUUUGAAUGUAGGAAUCAUUUCAAUUUUUCUUUUUUUAGUGUGUAAUUUCUAAACCAUUAGAAACAAGCUAAUUGAAAGACCAGGUAAAAGUGAGUGCCAGGCUUCAAUAUGUUCAUCACUAAGACCAAAAGAAAGCAUUUCCUUAGAUUUGGUUGAGAAAUAUUUUUCAGACUUAUUAUCUAGAACAAUCGUACCUGCUUUUGUUUUUCUGCUUCCCAGAGGAGCAUGUACAAUUCUGGGGAUGUUGAAUAAAGAAAUGACUUGCUAGCAUGAGGAGAAUUGAUUCUCUUAUUUUCAGGGGUGUGAGUAUAAAUUUAUUCUUUUUCUCCUUUUUGGAUAUGGCUUAAAUAUGGUUUUUUGUUUUUAUGCUCACAUUGGAGUGAAUGGUUUUAUUGUUUGCUUAUGGGUUUGUGUAACCAUUGAUACUGAACGUUGCUGAUCUGUGUAUGUAAAAAAUGCCUCCUGUACUCCAUAUUUAUUCAUAUGCUUGCGAUAGUACAUGUUAUGUAGAGUAUACAUUUUUCAUAAGCCUUUAUAUGUGGAACUCUUUAUUUAAAUAAUUGGGAUAUGUGAUGUAUACCUUGUUUCAUUUAUUUAAUAAACUGGAGUGAUAAAUAACAA